rnacentral:rRNA from 1 species
AAUGUUCUUCGAGUUCCAUCUGUGACCCGUAAUCUUCUUUCAGUUCCUAAACUCACACGUGAUAAUAAUGUGCUUUGUGAAUUUCACCCUUUUGAUCUUUUUAUUAAGGAUCGGGGCACGAGGGACAUUCUUCUUAGUGGGCGGUUGUGCCAGGGCCUCUACCGUCUGGAGCAUCCUGGCGUCGCCCGUGUUUUCAGUGGAGUUCGGGUCUCUCCGUCACAGUGGCAUGCUCGUCUUGGUCCCCCGGCCACACCUAUUGUCCGUCAUAUUUUGCGUCGUCAUGAGCUUCCUAGUUUGUCUAGUAAUAAAGAUGUAGCAGUGUGUGAUGCUUGUCAGCAGGGG